UGGUGUGGUUGGUACGGGAACUAGUGAAGAGUGGGGUUCUGGGAGCUGAUGGUGUUUGCAUGACAUUUAUGAAGCAGAUUGCAGGUGAGUUGAAAGUCAAGAGCAUAAAGAAGAAAGAGAGCGCUGGGGUUGUGGCUCAGUGGUGGAGCGCUUGCCUCCCACUGUGAGGCAUGGGGAUCAAUCCUCUACACCACAUAAAAAUAAAUACAUAAAUAAAGGUAUUGCAUCCAUCUACAACUAAAAAUAUUUAAGAAGAAAGGAGAGGAGCCCAGAGACUAAGGCUAGGCAAUAAAGACUGAUUAAGCACCCAUGGAACCUGAUUCCUGGGUUACUUAGGCUCUUUCUUUCUGAUACAGACAUCUGGCUUCAUGUGUUUCAGGAAGAAAUUGGUUGAAAAAUCACAGGAGCCCUUUUGAAGCAAUAAGUUUUGCUUUGUUUUCUUUCCUGUCAAAUCUAAAGCCUAGCAGAAUAUUUGACCUAUUUUAGCCAGGCUUCAUUCUGGGUUUUUGUGGCAUAUUGAAUCAGGAAGGAAUGAGGAGAAAAUUAAGGGGAAAUAAUUCAUCCCUGUAUUAUUAUGCUUUCAGAAAUCUAGACAUCUUCCCUGGCUCCACCCCUGUGUUCUGAACAAUUGCUCCCUAAUAAUUAUGACAACUGAUUGGGACCAGUCUGAGGGACAAAGGAUGUUACAGAACAGACCCUGACAUUUAGGUUUUAUUAUCAUCUUGGCAUUGGUGACAUCUGUCUGAGCCAAUGAAUAUGGAAGAGGCCUGCCUGAGCUUCCUCUUUUACUCUCAAGAUUGUGUGUGUGUUUAAAAAACUACCCUCCUGUUUUACCUCAUUAUUUGCCCAUUGCUGCUUGGCUUUCUCUUUAGGAUUUUAUAUAACACUGAUGCCCCUGUUUGGUGUGUUUGAACCAUUGUCUGUGUGAUAUGUGACUAUGUGAACAUCGAAAUGUUUAAUUGGGACUUAGUGCAAGGUAUAGCAGUGUUGUGCUGGUUAUUUUUAUCCUUUCUCCAGCACUUUCUUCCCUAUUUGGGCCUCCUAGCUCCCACUUCUUAUCCCAAGACUUUGGUCUGGCAUUGCUGCAUAUUAAUUCUGCCCCAGGAAGUUCCAUAGCAAGAACUGAAGACUGAUACCUGGAAACAAGAAACCCUUGGCUUGUUGUGAGCUUGAGCACAGGGAACAUCCAGAUGCUGGAUUGCAGCUGUUGCCAGCCGCCCGCACCUCUCAGGCCCUUUUUGAGACAUCAUCCUUUCUUUCCAACCAUGGGAUUCCUUUUCAAGGGCCAGCGUGUUCCCACUCAAGUUUCCAGUCUGGAAAAGCAACAGCUCUGGUUUCUAGAAAAAUUCAGAACAGGGGCUGGGGUUGUGGCUCAGUGGUAGAGCGCUUGCCUAGCAUGCAUGAGGCACUGGGUUCGAUCCUCAGCACCACAUAAAAAUAAAAUAAUGUGUCCACCUAAAACUAAAAAAAUACAUAAAUAAAUAAAUAUUAAAAAGAAAAGAAAAGAAAAAUUCAGAACAUUCCCUUCUCUUCUUCUCUCUGGAGGCAAAGGGAAUUUUUUAAAAAUCGGAUGGAAAAGAAGACAAUUUAUCCUAACACUCAGGAUAACAGUGAUGGGAUAACAGGGUAGACCAGCAAGAUGAGUGAAGAGAUGGAUUAGCUAAGUUGCUAAUUAGAGCUACUGUAUUCUGAUUCUUCCCCCCCUACUUUUUUUUUUCCAUCAGGUGGAGAUGUUACAGCCAAAAAUAUCUGGUUGGCAGAAAGUGUUCUGGAUAUCCUCACGGAGCAGAGGUAGAGUCCAUCAUGAAGGGUGGGGCAAGAACCAGAUAUGACCAGAAAGCAUAUGAGUGUGGGAAGUGGAGAAGAGAGGACUGUGUGACCCUAAAACACCUUAGGUUAGAGAGGAGGAAGCCAGCAUCAAGUGGGGGAGGCGACCAUAUUGAUGGCAAGUAAAGAAAUUAAUGCUGUAGUGUGGCCCAAGGGAUAAAGGAGUGGGAAAGAAGGGCCUGUUUUCUGAGCCCAGGAAAAACCAGUUUCAUCUGAUAAGGGUUUAUUUUUGAUCCAGACCUCCUUGGAAUGUUUAUCUUUGGAGGGGAGGUAGGGGAAGAAUGAGCUCAACAGAGCGGGACCAGCCAGCCACCCAGGCUUGGCAGGUACCUCUUCUCCCUUCCAAACUUCUCAAACACACUGUUUUUGAAGUGGUUCGGAUGGCAGCAGGGGUAGGGAGGUAAUAGAGAUCCUGAUCCCCCAUAGAGGGCUUGGAGCCUCCAGUGGUAGAGAGAGGCAUAUAGGGCUUUCUGGCUGAUUCUUUCCCUUCCUCAUCAAACUGAAGGACCAGAAAUUUUAUGAGGACUAUUCCAUUUCUGAAUUUGUUUGGGAAUGAGGUCUUCCUCCUUGGUCCUGUGGCCCCAGUCUUCAUUUUGCUUAUUUUUUGAGUCUCUCUGGAUAAGAACACCAUAGUAGUAAGAUUCUUGAGAGUGCUGAUAGUGUUCAUAUUGUCCACAUUUUCAAAGAAUGGACCUCCUCCCAUGAUUCACACUUGUGCUGCCUACUGCCAAGCCUGAGAGCCACGCAGGCCAGCUGUGCAGUGCCACCUAGUGCCCUGGCACAGAUGUGCAGCUGCACUGAAUCUGGCAACAUGACACCAGCAUGGGCAAGAUCUUAACAGUUUCUUGCCAGGUUUCUGCUUCUCUUAGGUAUCAUAUUUCUUUUUUUGGGGGGGGCGGGGGGGCGGGGAUUACCAGGAAUUGAACUCUGGGGCAUGCUACCACUGAGCCACAUCUCCAGCCCUAUUUUGUAUUUUAUUUAGAGACAGGGUCUCACUGAGUUGCUUAGCGCCUUGUCAUUGCUGAGGCUGACUUUGAACUCACGAUCCUCCUAUCUCAGCUUCUGGUGCUGCUGGGAUUACAGGUGUGUGCCACUGCACCCAGCAAAUAUCAGUAUUUAUUUAAUGUCCUGGAUUAGAAGGCCUCACUUGCAUCCCUCUUUCUCUUUCUUAUGCCAUUCUACAAUUCAGAUAUGUUUGUCAUUCCUGUUAAUAAUGUUCUUGAAAAGCUAUUUUUCUCAUUUUAUUCCUGGUUCCAGAUGUAUCCUGUCCCCUUGCCUUAAAGCUGAAUUUCCCAUAUAGGUGUCAAAUAACAGCUUGGUAACUUUCCCUACUCUCCAGAAACUCACAUUUUUUGGUAAAAGAUAGUACUUCAAAGUUUAAACUGUCUUCCUCCAUACCUUCCUUCUCACACCCUUCCAAAUGUUUUCAGGCUGUAGGGGUAAAAGGUAACUGGGAGCAGGGCUCAUGUCCUUGGCUAGUGUUUUCUUUCUUUCUUUCUUUUUUUUUUUUUCUUGAAAGGAAAAUGCCAGAUUCUUUUAAUUAGGUGACUUGAGCACAUUUCCAGAAUCAGGAUGUUGCCUGGUUGGAUUAAUUAAACUCACUGUCGUCUUCCUCCAGUUGGCCUUCCAGCAGGGAUGCCAAAGCCAUUACAAACUCUUUGCUUGGCGGAUACUACUCCACAGAAGUAGCACAAGAAACAGCAUUGGGGAUUUUAGGAAUCUUCCCACUGUGUUUUUCUCUCUACCCCUUUUAAAGUAGCAGGGAACAAGUAAUUCUUUCAUUACUCUGUUUUCCCCAGGGAAAUUCUAAAACUCCUGGGAAAAUGAGCUUUGCCAUCCAGAAUCAGGUUCUUUUUUCAGAUUAUGAUUUAGAGCAGGUGACUCAUUGUCUGAGGGUGGGGUCAGCAGCUAGCGAGUCAGGGAAAGGUUUGUGGUGUGGUAAACUGUUAGUGACAAGUGUGACAGAAGGGCUAGCAUGGUGUGUUCUGAGAACUCCUGGUCCUGAAAAGGGUCUUGGAAAUCCCCAGAGAUCCUGGCACCACACUUAAGAACUAUUGACUUAACAGAACUUUCCCCACAGAUGAACUGGGAGAAACGGUUCAUCUCUGACCCUAGUACCUCACACAUUGCUUGGCACAUGAUAGGCACUCAGUAAAUGUUUGAAUAGGUGAGUCAAUGUACAAAGUUAUUUUAUUGGAAGCUACAUAAGUGGUUACAUGGUAAGAAAAGAUUUUUUUCCUUUUGGCAUCUAUUUUUAUUGGUUGCCAAAUAGAGAAAAUUAGGAAGUUGUCCUUCUCUUAGCUAGUUGAUAGUUUUGAGAUAACAGCCUAAGCAAGCAAGCAGAAAAACAAAGAACCUCCUCCCAGUGUGUGAGCAUCAAACAUUAUUGAGUUGCUGGAGCCGAGUUUAAGCGGGUGAUUGGGAGUGUGCGUAGGUCUACGACAGAGUACAGGUGCAGUGUCUUUCCCUCCUGCAGGGAGUGGGUACUGAAGAGCAGCAUCCUCAUUGCCAUGGCUGUUUACACAUAUCUCCGUCUCAUCGUUGACCACCAUGGGACUGCCCAGCUCCAGGCCCUGCGGCAGAAGGAGGUGGACUUCUGCAUCUCGCUGCUUCGGGAACGGGUGAGGAAGUAGGAUAAGAUCAGUAUGGGGAAAUGAGACCCAGGAUGGGAUGCCCCUAUAGGUUUCAUGCACCAGGACUGGAGAUGCCUUUUCAGAUGUGGAAGUGGUUUAAAAUCUAGCAUUUUUCAUUGUCCUUAGAUAAGAGUAGAAUCUAAGGAGGGAGAAUCAGUGUGGAAUAACCCUUGUUCCUAGAAAUGCUAGCAUCCUGGGGAUUUUCCUGGUCACUGUCAAGGACACUGUUGUACAACAGACCCAAGCUGUUCUUUUGUAUACCCACUUAAGCUGUUCUGUCAUCCUACCACCUACCCAAGUAAUUGCCAUGGUCAUGUGGGAUUAUGAAUUGUCUGCUAUCAGAUCUCCCAAGAGAGAGAUCCUAGAAUUAAGUUAAUAUAAUGGCUGUUGACUACAUUUGGUAAUUUAUUAAUUAAUGUCAGAUUUUAAAGUUCCUUAAUUACCUUAGCCACAUGUUGCUAAUGGUAUUGUUUGGAAUGCAUAAAUGUAGAUCAUUUCCAUUACCACAAGAGGUUCUGUUGUACAAGAAUUUUGGGGUAGGGUGUCUGGGGCUCCACUUGCCUGUCCAAUAGUUUUGGAAUCUUAGUCUCUUUGAACUAAAUCAGAACAGUUCUGGGUGGAGAAGGGAAUAGAUUAGUGUGAAAGUCAGCAGGGCUUCAGCACUUCCCAGUAACUUUUCUUCCUUGGUAUCAGUCCCUAGCUUCCAGCUCUCUUCCAUAAACAGCUAGGAACCAAUCCCUUGGUUCUAGAAGAAAUCACAUAGUCCCUUCAACCUUCUUUCCUUCCCUCCCUGGAACAUGCUGUUCUUUUGUCCUCUCUCCAGAAGGUAAACAGUCUGUGUUUUUAUUCUCUUUCCUGUCCCCACUUCCUUCACCUCCUCACAUCAAGUUCAUGGAAUGUUUGAUGAUUGGCCGGGACCUUGUAAGACUACUUCAGAAUGUUGCUAGGAUACCAGAAUUUGAACUGCUUUGGAAAGAUAUUAUCCAUAACCCUCAGGCCUUGAGUCCUCAAUUUACAGGUAAGUAAGCCCUUGGGCAUCUUGUCCUUGAGAGAUGGCAAGUUAGCCUAUAUGUCCUAUAUUCAGAGGGCAGAGGUUGGUGGGUAGGACUGCCUUUGGCAAUCAGAGAAGGUUUGGGGCAGGGCAAGCUUUGCCAAGUACAGCUAGAUAUUGGAACCGCAGAAGUACUGAACAAUUCAUGUGAUUCCUAGACAGUCCCUGCUUGGCAGACUCCAGCUAUCAUUACUCCUAAGAAAAUAGUGAGAACUAUGAUCUUCUUCCUCUCCUGGAAGCUCCUUGGCUCAGGAGGUGAGCUGAUGACCAGUCUUUGACUUCAAUGAGUCUGGCAGGGAGUCAGAGGUCAACUCCAUGAGACUGAGUCAGCAGAGGAGCUAGAAUUAGUCCUGUAAGAGAUGGCCCCUCCCUGGAAGCAGUCUGGCCUCUUAAUUCCAAGGAUCCAACUUGGCCUAAAUCAUCUUUAGGGGAGAGAGUCUCUGUGUUCUUUCCCCUGACAUGGUCCUUUCAAUGUCCCUUUCCCUUUCCCAGAGCAAUAACUCUACAGCUUUGCUCCCUGGCCCACCUUUAAAGCACAUUCAUACAUAUGCACGCACACCUACAGAGCACUCUUCUAGAAUCUGAGAAGUGGGGAAAGUGCUGGUGCUACCUGAUAAUGCACUAUUCUUACAUCAAACAUGUCAGGUUACUUUGAGUGUCACCUCUAUGUUAGGCAUAUGUAUGUAAUUUAAACCUUAGAACAGCUCUAGAUUAUGGGUAUUUUAUUUCCCUUACAGUUGAAGAAACUGAGGUUCAAAAAAAGAAACGGAGCUGGACAUGGUAGCACACACCUAUAAUCCCAAUGACUCAGAAGGCUGAAGUAGGAGUAUUGAAAGUUCGAGGCCAGCCUGGGCAACCUAGCAAGACCCUGUCUCAAAAAUAAAAGGGCUUGGGCUGGGGAUAUAGCUCAGUUGGUACAGUGCUUAUCUCAGUUGGCCAGUGCAUGCACAAGGCCCUGGGUUCAAUCUCUAACACCACAAAAAAUAAAAAUGAUAGAUAGAUAGAUAGAUAGAUAGAUAGAUAGGCUGGGGAUGUGACUCAGUGGUAGAGCACCCUUAGGUUCUCUACCCCAGUAUCACCCCCUAAAAAAAAGAGAGAAAAUAAAAGAAACUGAGGUUCAAACAGGUUAAUUUGCUCAAGUGUAAGUGACAGGCAGGAUUUGGAUCAGGUUAUCCUGACUCCAGAGCUUAUGGUUAUGCUGCCACAUCACAUCCAUGCAAGGAUCAGGAGCAGGAAGACAAGCUAGAGUUUCCAUAUUUUUCUCUUAAUUUUCCCACCUGUUGCCAACUGCAAUAAUGGGGGUAGGGGACUCUGUAAAACCAGCAGAGGAAGGGAAUUAAUGUAACAGGAAUGUAGUUGGUUGGACAAAACGCACAGAUGCUAGUUAGAAUCCCCAUCUGUGUUGAUGCUUGGAAUUGCCUCAUGAACAAGACCACUGGCCAUCAGUACCUGGCCCAGUUUUCCCAUCUGUCUGCCAUUCCGUAGUUCUCAGGUUUCUCUCUUUUUUCUUCCCUAAAACACUUGGCUCAGGUAUCCUACAGCUUCUUCAGUCAAGAACAUCCCGAAAAUUCCUAGCAUGUCGUCUAACCCCAGAUAUGGAAACUAAGCUCCUCUUCAUGACAUCCCGGGUGAGCUCACCUAUUGCAACAGGAAGAGGAAUUGCAGGUGCUAGUUGGGCUUCUUGCUUCUGUCUGCAGAUCUGUUACUCUGAGUACUGAUCCACAGAGUGGUAGCUAAGUGGUAGCCCUUAUCCACAUGGCUACUGGCUUCUUUCCUUUGUUAAUUCUGUGCCUAUACACUGUGCUCAGUGCUAAGAAUUGGAGAUAAGGGUUGAAUAAGAGAGAUGCAGUUCUAGCUCUGUGAAGCUUUCAGUCUAUCUAAAGUAGCCAUUAUGCAGAGAAUUAUAUGCAAGUGUGAACUGUGCUGUUAAAGUUUAGAGUGAGAAUGUUUAUUCUGUCCAUGGUUCUUCCAGGGAAACUGUGAGCUUUCAAGGUAGCUAUGACCUUUUAGUGUCCAAAUAUGGCUGAACGGUGGUAAAACUGCUUGAGGAACAUGUUAUAGAUGGAAUCUGAUCAAAUAAAGAACCACUGCCCUAGCCAACUUUUGGAUCCCCAAGUUAUCUAGGAGAACUGUCCAGACCUUUGGUGUCCUUUGUAAUAGCCACUAGCCAUAUUUUGCAAUUUAAAUAUAAGUUAGUUAAAAUUUAGUAUCUUGUUUGCAGAAGCUACAUCUGAACUGCUCAUGGCUACCAUCAUUGCAGGAAGUUUUGUUGUGAAGUGUGGUCUGAGUGUAACUUUUUGUUUACCUUUCUGCCAUUUGGAUUUCUUCUGACAGGGGAAUAGAGGAGGAAAACAGAUCCUCCUUUUUUGCUAUUUAUAACCAUUUGGGUCUAUUUAGAAGUUUUAGAGGGCUGGGGAUGUGGCUCAAGCGGUAGCGCGCUCGCCUGGCAUGCGUGCGGCCUGGGUUUGAUCCUCAGCACCACAUACAAACAAAGAUGUUGUGUCCACCGAUAACUAAAAAAAAAAAAAAAACACUAUCGUGAUUCCCUGAAGAAAAAAAAAAGAAGUUUUAGAGUCUGUGCCUUGGAUAAUGGUCCUGUUAGGUUGCUGGAUGGCAGGAAGCACUCAGUGCUGAAUGGUGAACAGGUUUAGUUCUUGCUUUCAAGGAACAUUCCUUGUUGUCCAGUAGGCUCCAGAAAAUAAGAAAAGAUUAUACUUAGGACCAAAUCUUCAGUGACCAGUGUUGGAGCAAGGAGCCAAAAAUAGACCACAGUUGUUGGGGGUAAAUGUGGCAUCAGGUCAGGGCUGAGAAUGAAUGCACCCAUGACAUGCAAGGCAGCCUAGAAAGACUUAGAGUACUUUUUAAAAUCAUGAAAUAACCCCAAAAGGAAAAGACACUCAAGAGACAGUGUGAGCUAAUGAGUAAGUUGUAGGAAGAAAUGAAGGUCUAGGUCAAACAUGGAGUUUAACAGUUCUCAUAGAUUCCACCCUGCUUUCCAAGUUUCUUUUUCUAACUUUUCCCUCCUCAGGUGCGGUUUGGUCAACAAAAGAGAUACCAAGACUGGUUCCAGCGCCAGUAUUUGUCAACCCCAGACAGUCAGUCUCUACGCUGUGACCUCAUUCGCUACAUCUGUGGGGUAGUCCACCCUUCUAAUGAAGUGCUGAGUUCUGACAUCUUGCCUCGAUGGGCCAUCAUUGGUUGGCUCCUGACAACAUGCACGGUAGGGGGCUGGGCCACAGGGUAGAGGAUGUUGGACAGUGAAGGAUGCCUUCUGUAUUUCCAUGCUUCUUGCUGGACUCUCCAGGGCCAUUUGAUCCAUAAGGACCCUUCUUUCACUGUUGUCUUUCAAAUGUUUCAGGCUCUUAUUCCAUUACCUUUGUGUCUCAAGAAAUUUUGUUAGACUCAUUAUUUCUCAUCUGGGUUGGGGAUUCAAUAGGUCCAUCUAUCUCUUUAUUACUAACCCCCAAAAUCCUGGAUUUCUGAAGCAUUCUUGCCUUUUUCCUUUGAGCUUCUGGAUACCACAAAGUUAGGGCUUGCAUUCUUUAGACCCUCACCUCCGUGCUUCUGGCAUCAGCUUCGGAUAAAGGAGCCAUUUCCUUCCCAGCAUUUUCCUUCCUGUGUUGAGAUGGAAAACCAUCCAUUCUCUGACAUCUUCUGACAGGGUUUCCCCUUUCUUCUCUGAUUAGAUUCUUAGAAUGUACUGAUUCAAAUAUGACAAAAGACUAUUCCUAGAGGGCCUUUUCUUCAGAAAUGUGGGUGGGGGAGCCCACCAAGGGCAGCCCAGGGGCCAUCUGAGUAUUGCCUUGACUCAGAAGUAAUGAGUGAACUCCUAAGUCCAAGUGUUGUCCCUUAGGGGAGGAGAGGUAUAUCCUCCUGGGUGUGUGAGGAUCCCAGCCAGUCCCAUCCCCUUGGUUGGUAAGACCACAGGGUUCUCGUGCUCACAUGUAACACAGACGCAGAUCGUGGGGCUCCACCACGUUUCACUGGGACCUGAAUUUCACAGGUGCAGCAACAAAGUAAGCCCUGGAAUCUGCCCUGGGCUUCAGAAGGGAAGGGAGACGGUUGAUGAAAUUAGC
rnacentral:lncRNA from 1 species